GGAGGAGCCAGGAGUUGCUGAAAAGACUCCGUUUCUGGAAACAAGGAGAGCCACCGCUCCUGAGAAGCCUACAAGCUCAGCCCCAGAGUCUCAGAAAUGGAAGAGGAAGGUGAAGACCUAGAGGGGUGCCUCUACCUGCUCCUGUUUCUAGAAAAGGUGGUUUACCCUACUAGCCACAUACAGUGCUGGUCGGCCCAUUCGCUGGCCCAAGGGAGGCUGAAGCUACUUCACCCGUCACUCAACAGGGGUUCCGGGGUGCCUGCUACGUGCCCGGACCGAUGAGAUGCUUUCAGAAGCAGGGGAUAAAAGGGCCGCUGCAUUGAAGGACCUAGUAGCUCCACUACGGGCCAGGCUUGUGCAGUGUACUAACCAACUUUCAUACGAAGGCACGGUCUACAUUAGAAAUGAGAAAACCUGCUCACACUGAGACUUUAGGCGAGUAGUCUGUGACCUCUCCAGAACAGUUUCCUCAUCUGUCAUAUGGGGCGUAUAACAUUAUCUGUCAUACUGUGUCGUGUCAAGGGUUAAAUGAGUUCAAGCAAGUGAAGUGUUCAGGAAAGAGCUUGGCGUCUGUGUCCACCAAGA